CUAUUUAAAUAUACUUUUAUGAAAUUUAUAAAUACCAUAUGAUAAUUGUUUGUUAAGAAUAUAGAUAUUAUUUUUUAUUGUUCAGAACAAAUUGGAGCUGAAAUUUUAAAUGAUCUGCAUUCUCAAAGAGAAACAAUUCAAAAAGCAAGACAAAAGUUAAGAGAAACAGAUGAUGACUUAGGAAAAAGUUCAAGAAUUUUAACUGGAAUGAUAAGAAGGGUCAUCCAGAAUCGUGUAAUCCUGUUUGUAGUGGGAAGUAUUAUAUUGUGUGUUAUA